AUACGGAAGGUCCGGGCGUUAUCCGGAUUUAUUGGGUUUAAAGGGAGCGCAGGCGGAGAUGCAAGCGUGACGUCAAAUUUCGGGGCUCAACCCCGUCUCGCGUCGCGAACUGCGUCCCUUGGUUGCGGGAAGGGGAGGCGGAAGUCGGGGGGUAGCGGGGAAAUGCAUAGAUAUCACGAAGAACUCCGAUCGCGAAGGCAGCCUUCCGGCCCGUCAACGACGCUCAUGCUCGAAGGUGCGGGUAUCAAACAGGAUUAGAUACCCUGGUAGUCCGCACAGUAAACGAUGGACACCCGCGGUUUGGCCUGUAUGGCUGAGCCGCCAAGCGAAAGCGUUAAGUGUCCCACCUGGGGAGUACGCCGGCAACGGUGAAACUCAAAUGAAUUGACGGGG
rnacentral:rRNA from 1 species